rnacentral:rRNA from 1 species
GAGGAAUAUUGGACAAUGGGCGAGAGCCUGAUCCAGCCAUGCCGCGUGCAGGAAGACGGUCCUAUGGAUUGUAAACCGCUUUUGUCAGGGAAGAAAUACGCUGGGUUAAUACCUCGGCGGGAUGACGGUACCUCAAGAAUAAGCACCGGCUAACUACGUGCCAGCAGCCGCGGUAAUACGUAGGGUGCAAGCGUUAAUCGGAAUUACUGGGCGUAAAGCGUGCGCAGGCGGUCGUGCAAGACAGAUGUGAAAUCCCCGGGCUUAACCUGGGAACUGCAUUUGUGACUGCACGGCUAGAGUACGGUAGAGGGGGAUGGAAUUCCGCGUGUAGCAGUGAAAUGCGUAGAUAUGCGGAGGAACACCGAUGGCGAAGGCAGUCCCCUGGACCUGUACUGACGCUCAUGCACGAAAGCGUGGGGAGCAAA